UACGUAGGUGGCGAGCGUUGUCCGGAUUUACUGGGCGUAAAGGGAGCGCAGGUGGUUUAUUAAGUCUGGUGUAAAAGGCAGUGGCUCAACCAUUGUAUGCAUUGGAAACUGGUAGACUUGAGUGCAGGAGAGGAGAGUGGAAUUCCAUGUGUAGCGGUGAAAUGCGUAGAUAUAUGGAGGAACACCGGUGGCGAAAGCGGCUCUCUGGCCUGUAACUGACAUUGAGGCUCGAAAGCGUGGGGAGCAAACAGG
rnacentral:rRNA from 1 species